rnacentral:rRNA from 1 species
ACAGGAUUUGUACCCUGGUAGUCCACGCCGUAAACGAUGUCGACUUGGAGGUUGUUCCCUUGAGGAGUGGCUUCCGGAGCUAACGCGUUAAGUCGACCGCCUGGGGAGUACGGCCGCAAGGUUAAAACUCAAAUGAAUUGACGGGGGCCCGCACAAGCGGUGGAGCAUGUGGUUUAAUUCGAUGCAACGCGAAGAACCUUACCUACUCUUGACAUCCAGAGAACUUAGCAGAGAUGCUUUGGUGCCUUCGGGAACUCUGAGACAGGUGCUGCAUGGCUGUCGUCAGCUCGUGUUGUGAAAUGUUGGGUUAAGUCCCGCAACGAGCGCAACCCUUAUCCUUUGUUGCCAGCGAUUCGGUCGGAACUCAAAGAGAC